AGAACGAACGCUGGCGGCAUGCCUAACACAUGCAAGUCGAACGAGACCUUCGGGUCUAGUGGCGCACGGGUGCGUAACGCGUGGGAACCUGCCUUUAGGUUCGGAAUAACUCUCCGAAAGGGGUGCUAAUACCGAAUAAUGUCUUCGGACCAAAGAUUUAUCGCCUUUAGAUGGGCCCGCGUUGGAUUAGCUAGUUGGUGGGGUAAAGCCUACCAAGGCGACGAUCCAUAGCUGGUCUGAGAGGAUGAUCAGCCACACUGGGACUGAGACACGGUCCGGACUCCUACGGGAGGCAGCAGUGGGGAAUAUUGGACAAUGGGCGCAAGCCUGAUCCAGCAAUGCCGCGUGUGUGAAGAAGGCCUUCGGGUUGUAAAGCACUUAAGUUAGGAAGAAAAACUCGACUCUAACACA
rnacentral:rRNA from 1 species